rnacentral:lncRNA from 12 species
ACGUUAAAGAGUUGACCAUCUGGUGUAUUCUUAACAGUGGAGAUGAUCGUGGACUUCAGGAGAAUCCCCCCUGCACUGCCCCCACUCACCAUCAAUGAACAGCACUGUGACUGCAGUGAAGUCUAUAUUCAGCCUGAACAAUUAAAACAUUAAUAACUAUACACUGUCCAUCAUAACUGACUCAUUUAUUUAUACACCAUCUGAAAAUUUAACAUUUGUAAACUGCACACUUGUAAAUAACAUAUAUGUAUAUUCGCUUAAACAAUUACGUUUUUUUUUCUCUCUGUAAUUCUACUUCUGUAUAUUUAUUUAUUUAAUUUUCAGUUUUUUGUUUGUUUGCUUGUUUUGUUUUGAUUGUUUGUUUUUUCUUAUAUUAGUGUUAUAUUCCAAAUCUACUUUGUUAUUCCUAUGUAUGUCUGCACUAUCAUGUAUGUUUGCGCUAUGUGUGUACUUUCUUCUGGACUGGAAGAUCCUGUCGCUAAGUCAAAUUCCUUGUGUGUGUAAACAUACUUGGUAAUGAAGCUCCUUUUGACUUCUGACUUAAAGGGAUAGUUCACCCAAAAAUGAAAAUUUGAUGUUUAUCUGCUUACCCCCAGGGCAUCCAAGAUGUAGGUGACUUUGUUUCUUCAGUAGAACACAUGAAGAUUUUUAACUCAAAACGUUGCAGUCUGUCAGUCAUAUAAUGUAGGUGAAUGGGAAUCACGGCUUUGAGAGUAAAAAAACAAAACCAAAUUAAAACCUGCGGCUCGUGACGAUACAUUGAAGUCUUAAGACAUGAAAUGAUCUGUCUGUGCAAGUUCAGUUUCUUGCAACUACAAUAAGAUAAAACAGUAAAUAAGUAACACUGAUUUAAAGUGUAUUUCUUUUGCUUGGCACAUAAAAAAUGUUUUGUUUUUGUUUCGUUUAUUUAAUGUGAUUUCCCAAAGCUCAAAGAAUGAAGAUACAUAACACAGUUAUGAUCAAAACAGUCUGAAGUGCAAAUGUCACGGCCUGUGACCUUCUGCACAGCCAUAGUGUUUCUGUUUAGUUUGUUUAUGUGUCACAUUUCCAUCUUUUUGAUGGCAGAGACAGACAGUCUGAGAGACUUCGGGAUGAUGUCAUCGCCCCAUGCCCAUAGUGAAACUAGAGGAGUUUAGAGCCACUGAUGCUCGUGUGAAGGUCUGGAGCAUUCAGAUGAUCUCCCAGAAGAACACUGUAUCGAUCAGAGGUUAGUUUUUCAUCUCAAUGGAGUUUCAUCUUCUUCUUGUUUCUCGAAAUGACCCGGAUGGGACACUAAUUACACUAAGAGUUUAGAGCUAUGAAAAACAGCAGAUCAUAUGAUGAGAAGUGUUUGCAUUCAUAUUCACUGCAAAAAGUGAUUUUCUUAAUAUUUUAGUCUAGUUGUAC